rnacentral:rRNA from 1 species
AUUGAACGCUGGCGGCAGGCUUAACACAUGCAAGUCGAGCGGGGUGAUGGUGCUUGCACUAUCACUUAGCGGCGGACGGGUGAGUAAUGCUUAGGAAUCUGCCUAUUAGUGGGGGACAACAUCUCGAAAGGGAUGCUAAUACCGCAUACGUCCUACGGGAGAAAGCAGGGGAUCACUUGUGACCUUGCGCUAAUAGAUGAGCCUAAGUCGGAUUAGCUAGUUGGUGGGGUAAAGGCCUACCAAGGCGACGAUCUGUAGCGGGUCUGAGAGGAUGCUCCGCCACACUGGGACUGAGACACGGCCCAGACUCCUACGGGAGGGAGCAGUGGGGAAUAUUGGACAAUGGGGGGAACCCUGAUCCAGCCAUGCCGCGUGUGUGAAGAAGGCCUUAUGGUUGUAAAGCACUUUAAGCGAGGAGGAGGCUCUUUUGGUUAAUACCCAAGAUGAGUGGACGUUACUCGCAGAAUAAGCACCGGCUAACUCUGUGCCAGCCGCCGCGGUAA